AGGAUAGAGGCCUACCAUGGUGGUAACGGGUAACGGGGUGUUAGGGCACGACACCGGAGAGGGAGCCUGAGAAACGGCUACCACAUCCAAGGAUGGCAGCAGGCGCGCAAAUUACCCAAUCCCGACACGGGGAGGUAGUGACAAUAAAUAACAAUACGGGGUUCUUUCGGAUCUCGUAAUUGGAAUGAGUACAAUUUAAAUCUCUUAACGAGGAACAAUUGGAGGGCAAGUCUGGUACCAGCAGCCGCGGUAAUUCCAGCUCCAAUAGCGUAUAUUAAAGUUGUUGCAGUUAAAAAGCUCGUAGUUGAAUUUCGGGGUUAGUAGGUUGGUCAUGCCUCUGGUAUGUACUGGUCUCACUGAUUCCUCCUUCCUUAUGAACCGUAAUGCCAUUAAUUUGGUGUUGCGGGGAAUUUGGACUGUUACUUUGAAAAAAUUAGAGUGUUUAAAGCAAGCUAACGCUUGAAUACAUUAGCAUGGAAUAAUGAAAUAGGACGUUCGAUCUUAUUUUGUUGGUUUCCAGGAUUGACGUAAUGAUUAAUAGGGAUAGUUGGGGGCAUUAGUAUUCAAUUGUCAGAGGUGAAAUUCUUGGAUUUAUUGAAGACUAACUACUGCGAAAGCAUUUGCCAAGGAUGUUUUCAUUAAUCAGGAACGAAAGUUAGGGGAUCGAAGACGAUCAGAUACCGUCGUAGUCUUAACCAUAAACUAUGCCGACUAGGGAUCGGAUGA
rnacentral:rRNA from 1 species